GAAGCCUGCCCUCUCGCCCUGGUCUGCCUUGCGGCUCGCCGGAACGAGGGGUCGAGGUUCGAACCAAACCCGCAGCCACCGCCGAAUCGGAGGUGGGUCACGAAAUCCGGUUUUCACCCGUCUGUGCAGGAGAUUAAGCGAAGCCGUUUCCACGAGGGAUCAGGCCAGGCACCUGCAGUCUUGGACAGGAUCGGAGAGUUCCCCGGGUUUGACACCAGAGAUAGCCCCUGCCCAUUUUCUUCUUUCAAAACAAAGGCUUUCCGUUCCU
rnacentral:misc_RNA from 1 species